UCCUUUUUAGUUAUUCACUUUGAAGAGAUUUAUUAUAAUUGCUAAUUAAUAGUAUACUGAGAAUCAAAAGAAAGCAUUUACAAAGAAUUCAAAACAGACAAAUAACAAUCUUUCUGCAGAAGGUGCACUGACAUUUGUUUGAUUGGCAGAGGAUCAACUGGGAAGGCUGCAGAUGCAACAAGAUAGAACAUGAAGAAAAUGGAAAUGGACAAGCAGCUGUGGCAUGUAUAGCUCCCAAUUCUGAAAGUUUUUAAUGGCAAAAAGUCAGGUCUUUUUGCAGAUUGUGGCACAAUAGUGUGAUAAAAGGCAUGAGGAUGUGUAUUUUACUUAUUCUCAGCAAGUUCAGAUGCUUGCUCAUUUUCUUUUCUUAUUUAUACAUUAAUUGACAGAUUACUCU